rnacentral:misc_RNA from 1 species
UUUCCGUAGGUGAACCUGCGGAAGGAUCAUUACUGAGUGAGGGCCCUCUGGGUCCAACCUCCCACCCGUGUUUAUUAGACCUUGUUGCUUCGGUGAGCCCGCCUCACGGCCGCCGGGGGGCAUCUGCCCCCGGGCCCGCGCCCACCGAAGACACCUAGAACUCUGUAUGAAGAUUGCAGUCUGAGCAAAAACUAAAUAAGUUAAAACUUUCAACAACGGAUCUCUUGGUUCCG